rnacentral:lncRNA from 1 species
GAUAUUAGGAGCUGAAAAGGAGGGAAGGUGGACUUCUUUGAUUUUUCCAGACAUCAUUGCGGAAAGGACAUCACUACAGACCGUCUGAAGGGUCCGGACUAUAUCCAUUUGUUUUGUGACCUCUGCUGGCUACAAACCUGAGCACAGAUGCUUGACCUAUUGUGAGUAAGAAAGUUGUCUGUAGUGCCACCCCCCCUUUGUCUUUACUUAAGAAAGAUAUAAACCAUAAGCAGGUAGGAACAGAAGCAGCGUUUGUUUUCGUAGGCAAGUGUUCUACCCUGGUUCAGAACCUGUAAGCUGUGUCAGUCUCAUCUUGUUCAUUUAAACUCCCAGUCGCUUUGUGAUGGUGGUGGGUACUCAGUAAGUCAUCUAGAGUUUCUGAGGAUGAUUACAGACAGAAUGAUACAGAGAUGCAUCUGUGCCUUUUGAGGUCCGGUAUAAAACUCUAUGUCCCAUUCAUUAUAAGCAGAAAUCUAUUUGGUCUUACAGUGGCUUAUUCCUUGUGCAUCUUAUCGAAAUUCAGUCCAAAUAUGAUAGUUUUUAAUCUUUAAAUAGAAACGAAUUGGAGAGGAGUAAUGAGACACCAUUUGGGAUUGUUGGCAAUUUUAAAUGUUCAAAAACCAAAAUCACACAAGCAAGAGAACAGUGAGCCCCAUCCUGCUGACUAGAUGAUCUAGCCAGCAGUUGGUGCUGGCACCAAAUUAUUAGCCAGACUGG